CCUACGGGGGGCUGCAGUGGGGAAUAUUGGACAAUGGGGGCAACCCUGAUCCAGCCAUGCCGCGUGUGUGAAGAAGGCCCUCGGGUUGUAAAGCACUUUCAGUGAGGAAGAACGCCUGGUGGUUAAUACCCAUCAGGAAAGACAUCACUCACAGAAGAAGCACCGGCUAACUCCGUGCCAGCAGCCGCGGUAAUACGGAGGGUGCGAGCGUUAAUCGGAAUUACUGGGCGUAAAGCGCGCGUAGGUGGCUUGAUAAGCCGGUUGUGAAAGCCCCGGGCUCAACCUGGGAACGGCAUCCGGAACUGUCAAGCUAGAGGGCAGGAGAGGAAGGUAGAAUUCCCGGUGUAGCGGUGAAAUGCGUAGAGAUCGGGAGGAAUACCAGUGGCGAAGGCGGCCUUCUGGACUGACACUGACACUGAGGUGCGAAAGCGUGGGUAGCAAACGGGAUUAGAUACCCGAGUAGUC
rnacentral:rRNA from 1 species